rnacentral:rRNA from 1 species
AUGGAGCAGCACGUGCUGGUGGCGCUCGCCCUCUCCUUCGUCGGCGGCCUCAGCACCUCCCUCGGUGCGCUGCUUGUGAUCGUCAACCCUUCCCCUGACCUUAAGAGGCUCGGCCUCCUCCAGGGUUUUGCUGCUGGACUUAUGUUGAGCAUCUCGUUUCUAGACUUGGCACACAACGCACUCAACUCCAUUGGCUUCUUGAAGGCCAAUCUAUGGUUUUUUGCAGGAGUUCUUUUCUUUGGGUUCGUUGUCAAGUUUAUUCCAGAGCCAACCUUUGUGCCAACAACUGAUGCAAGCAAGAAAAAGACUGAUGAUGACGGGUCGGGCAAAGAUAUGAUGAAAAAACAUCGCCGGCAAGUCUUAUUCAGUGGCAUCAUUACUGCUGUUGGAAUUAGCUUGCACAAUUUUCCUGAGGGAAUGGCGGUAUUUCUUGGAUCCGUGAAGGGUCUUCGCGUGGGAGUUAACUUGGCUUUCGCUAUUGCUUUACAUAACAUACCUGAGGGGGUUGCUGUAGCUCUGCCACUCUAUUUUGCUACCAAAAGCAAAUGGCAAGCAUUUAAAUAUGCAACACUCUCUGGUUUGGCUGAGCCACUAGGAGUAUUUUUUGUAGCUGUCUUGUUUCCGAGCAACUUAAAUCCUGAAAUUCUUGAAGGCCUACUUGCAUCAGUUGGUGGUGUUAUGGCUUUCCUCACUUUGCAUGAGUUGUUACCUCUAGCAUUUGACUAUGCUGGCCAGAAGCAAGCUGUCAAAGCAGUCUUUGUUGGCAUGGCCGUCAUGUCUGCGAGCUUGUAUUUCCUGGAGAUCAGCCUACCGAAGGAGAUCAGCUUGUAA